rnacentral:rRNA from 1 species
GACAGAGGGUGCAAGCGUUGUUCGGAAUUACUGGGCGUAAGGCGCGCGCAGGCGGGUCCUGUAAGUCGGAAGGGAAAUCUCACUGCUCAACGGUGGGGCUGCUUUUGAUACUGCGGAUCUGGAGACCGGUAGAGGCUGGUAGAAUUGCAGGUGUAGCGGUGGAAUGCGUAGAGAUCUGCAAGAAUACCCGUGGCGAAGGCGGCCAGCUGGGCCGGUUCUGACGCUGAGGCGCGAAAGCUAGGGGAGCGAACAGG